GUACACGCUGUGACUAGCAUAUCAAUAAGCGGAGGAAAAGGAAACUAACAAGGAUUCCCCUAGUAACGGCGAGUGAAGCGGGAAGAGCUCAAAUUUGAAAUCUUAAAGGGUUUCCCUUUACGAAUUGUAGUUUAAAGAAGUGUUUUCUGUUGAGGUUUUGGUAAAAGUUCUUUGGAAUAGGACAUCAUAGAGGGUGAGAAUCCCGUAUUUGACCUUUACUUUCAACUUUGUGAUACACUUUCAAAGAGUCGGAUUGUUUGGGAAUGCAGUCCAAAAUGGGCGGUAAAUUUCAUCUAAAGCUAAAUAUUGGCGAGAGACCGAUAGCGAACAAGUACCGUGAGGGAAAGAUGAAAAGAACUUUGAAAAGAGAGUUAAACAGUACGUGAAAUUGUCAAAAGGGAAGCGUUUGACACCAGUGUUGUUUUUCUGAAAAUCAAUUAAAGAACUGUUUAUGCUAAGUUGUUUAGACUUUAUCAGCUAACUGUUUAGUUUUGAGCUUUUCUUUAAUGCACUUUUCAGUUAACAAGUCAACAUCAAUUUCUUUUGCUGUAAAAAAGCUUGAGGAAGGUGGCUUGAGAUUCGUCUUAAGUGUUUAUAGCCUCUUGCCUAUGCAGUCGGAGAGAUUGAGGUCUGCAGCGUAGAUCCUUCGGGGCUAAAUGCAUUUGUGCUAAGUUAUAGCAUUUUAUAGACAACUUGUUGACUAUGAUUUGUCUUGUAGCUUACUCGCUUAUGUUAUUUUACCUACGCUUAGGAUGUUGAAGAUGUAGCACAUCAU
rnacentral:rRNA from 1 species